UGCAGACAUUAGAGCUUGAAUCUGUAUCGAUAAAUUAUGAAAAUUGAAGUUAAAAAGAUACAUCAGAAACAUAGAGAAUGCUUUCCCCAUCUACAUAUUUGUAAAUAUCAUGCCAUCAACAAGACACUACAGAUAUAGAAGAUGGCAUCUAUGACAAAUACUUGCAAGCUCCAACACAACAGUUGCACCUAGAAGGGAUUAGUUAAACUUAUUCCAAGCAUGAGUCUAGACUCUAGUCUUAUAAAGGGAGAAAUAAAGAACAAAAAAGUACAUCUAAAACUGAUCUGAGAUGCCUCUAGCCUCUUGUCAGGCAAUGGCACAACACAAGCCAGCUAAAUGCCUACUACUAGAUUCUGUUCUUUGUCCAAAUGUUUUUCUACCCAGAGCAAGGCAUUGUUGAUCCAGGGCAGUAUGAAAUGAUUUGUGGAUUUUGUACUGCAGUUAAACACUUUAAUGGUUUUGUGGCAACAUUCCGUAUCUUCCCCAGACAAAAAGUGGCACCG
rnacentral:misc_RNA from 1 species